CCCGCUGAACUUAAGCAUAUCAAUAAGCGGAGGAAAAAGAAACUAACAAGGAUUCCCCUAGUAACUGCGAGUGAAGCGGGAAGAGCUCAAAUUUGAAAUCUGGUGGUCCUCGACCGUCCGAGUUGUAAUCUAGAGAAGUGCUACCUGUGCUGGACCAUGUACAAGUCUUCUGGAAUGGAGCAUCAUAGAGGGUGAGAAUCCCGUCUUUGACAUGGACUGCCGGUGCGUUGUGGUAUGCUCUCAAAGAGUCGAGUUGUUUGGGAAUGCAGCUCAAAACGGGUGGUAAAUGCCAUCUAAAGCUAAAUAUUGGCGAGAGACCGAUAGCGAACAAGUACCGUGAGGGAAAGAUGAAAAGAACUUUGGAAAGAGAGUUAAACAGUAUGUGAAAUUGUUGAAAGGGAAACGAUGGAGGUCAGUCGUGUCUGUGGGAUUCAGCCGUCUCUGGCGGUGUACUUCCCACAGACGGGUCAACAUCAGUUUUGGUCGGCGGAUAAAGGCAGGAGGAAGGUGGCACCCUCGGGUGUGUUAUAGCCUCUUGUCGCAUACGCUGGCUGAGACUGAGGAAUGCAGCUCGCCUUUAUGGCCGGGGUUCGCCCACGUUCGAGCUUAGGAUGUUGACAUAAUGGCCUUCAACGACCCGUCUUGAAACACGG
rnacentral:rRNA from 1 species